rnacentral:rRNA from 1 species
UGGGGAAUAUUGGACAAUGGGCGAAAGCCUGAUCCAGCCAUGCCGCGUGUGUGAAGAAGGUCUUCGGAUUGUAAAGCACUUUAAGUUGGGAGGAGGGGCUGCAAGUUAAUACCUUGUAGUUUUGACGUUACCAACAGAAUAAGCACCGGCUAACUUCGUGCCAGCAGCCGCGGUAAUACGAAGGGUGCAAGCGUUAAUCGGAAUUACUGGGCGUAAAGCGCGCGUAGGUGGUUUGGUAAGAUGGAUGUGAAAUCCCCGGGCUCAACCUGGGAACUGCAUCCAUAACUGCCUGACUAGAGUACGGUAGAGGGUGGUGGAAUUUCCUGUGUAGCGGUGAAAUGCGUAGAUAUAGGAAGGAACACCAGUGGCGAAGGCGACCACCUGGACUGAUACUGACACUGAGGUGCGAAAGCGUGGGGAGCAAACA